rnacentral:piRNA from 1 species
UGCCUAACGUUGUAACAACAUAUCUAUGC